rnacentral:lncRNA from 1 species
AUGGAUAAGAAAACAGAAAACACAAUUUGGAUUAAAAAAAAGCAGUGGAGCAUGGUGCUCUUUGGAUAAGAAAACAGCAAUGGAGCAUAGAGCACCUUCAAUUUGGAUGCAUAGGAGCACCUUCAGUUUGGAUGAGUAUAUAAUACUACUUCUAGGGUGGUUUAUUAUCCAUCCAAGUCUCGAUCGACGAAAUUCAGAAGGUUCAUCAUUAAGCUUUUCUUCUUUUGUAUGUUCAUUUGUUUAGGUUCUUCAUUUUUCUCUCUUUCUAGCUUUAGAAUACAGCGCAACAACAAUAAACUUCUCUAUUGACACAAUCACACAAGGGAAUUUCCUUUUGCGAUAAUUGUAGUUACAAAUUGACCAUAUUGUUGACACACUCUCAAAUAGAAUGAAAUGUGAGACACACUGUCUAAACUAAAGAGUGUGACGCUAACUUCGAAUGUCUAAAUGACGUUUCUUAAUUUUUCUCUUUUUGUGUGAGUAUAAAUCUCAAUAUUUGAUUUUAGCCUAAUUUAUGGUAAAUAUUUUGUAGCUCGCACAUAAGCAUUUGGAGUAAUUUGUACGUAGCUCGGAAAUAGAGGGCUUUUUUUUUUAUUAUUAUUAUUUUUUUAUCAGAGGCAUCCAUUUAUUUUUGUUGAAGUAGAGGCUUGGCUUUAUAAUAGUAGAGAUUAUGAUCCCGCUCUCCUCUUCCCUACUUUAUCUCUUCUCGUUUGCAUCUGUUGUCUCUUUUCCCUUGCUCUUCACUUCCCCUUUUCUUUUCUUCUUACAUAUUCACUGUUCCAUUUUCAUCUCUUCCCCAAAUCGAACAAAACUGAUCAAACUGAGCUGAAUCUGAACCGAACUAGUUAUACUAUUUAAUUUUAUUUGUGAUUUUUUGGGAUGAACCAAAUCGAACCAAACCGUUCUCACCUGUAAUUAGUUAGUGUUUAAACAUGUUUAUAGGGAUUUGAAUAAAUCUGCUGACUUCAUGCUCUUUGUGAUCUCUAAAUUGUUUAGUUAAUAUUUUAGAUUUACAACUGAUAAAUAAAAAAUAAAAUAAAAUAACGCAUAUAGAUUAAGAUAAAUUUUCGUAACAAUUGAAAGUAGGUGUCAGUCAAUAUAUAUUUCCAAAUGCUUGCGUUAUGGCUGAGAGAUAAUUUAUACACACGGCAGUGAAGCAAAUAAUACAGCGUACCUAGUCCUGUUCACUUGAGGAGAUAUUUUUUCAUGUAUUCGGAACAGGAACGGUACAUCAUGUGUUAUAAGAGGCACAACCGUGAUGCAUUUGGGAACUCGAGGCGUCUGUAUCACGUACAUGGGGUUUUUUUGGGGGGGGGGGAAGCUAUAUGACAGGUCAUCUGGGAACUCAAGGCGUCUGUAUCACGUACAUGGGGGAUGGGGGGGAAGGAUUUGGAUCCUCUCCUGAGCAAGAGAUCAUGAUCCUCGAGAUCAAACAACAUGGACCGUUGGAUUUUAAUCCAACGGUUAUAAUUAUUAUAACUUUUAGAAGGACUUCCUGUUUGUAG